UACCCGCUGACUUAAGCAUAUCAAUAAGCGGAGGAAAAGAAACUAACAAGGAUUCCCCUAGUAACGGCGAGUGAAGCGGGAAAAGCUCAAAUUUGUAAUCUGGCACUUUCAGUGUCCGAGUUGUAAUCUCGAGAAGUAUUUUCCGCGCUGGACCGCACAUAAGUCUGUUGGAAUACAGCGUCAUAGUGGUGAGAACCCCGUAUAUGGUGCGGAUGCCCAGUGCUUUGUGAUAUACUUUCGAAGAGUCGAGUUGUUUGGGAAUGCAGCUCAAAUUGGGUGGUAAAUUCCAUCUAAAGCUAAAUAUUGGCGAGAGACCGAUAGCGAACAAGUACCGUGAGGGAAAGAUGAAAAGCACUUUGGAAAGAGAGUUAACAGUACGUGAAAUUGUUGGAAGGGAAACGCUUGAAGUCAGACUUGCAUUUUGGAGUUCAGCCGCAAGGUGUAUUCUUCGAUUCGCAGGCCAGCAUCAGUUUUUGGGGGUGGAAAAUCGUGGUUUGAAGGUAGCAGUUUCGGCUGUGUUAUAGCUUUCCACUGGAUUCAUUUUUGGGGACUGAGGAACGCAGUACGCUUUUUGCAAGACUUUCGAGUUUUUCGUACUUAGGAUGCUGGUGGAAUGGCUUUAAACGACCCGUCUUGAACCACGGACCA
rnacentral:rRNA from 1 species